UGUAGUCAUAUGCUUGUCUCAAAGAUUAAGCCAUGCAUGUCUAAGUACGCACGGCCGGUACAGAGAAACUGCGAAUGGCUCAUUAAAUCAGUUAUGGUUCCUUUGGUCGCUCGCUCCUCUCCUACUUGGAUAACUGUGGUAAUUCUAGAGCUAAUACAUGCCGACGGGCGCUGACCCCCUUCGCGGGGGGGAUGCGUGCAUUUAUCAGAUCAAAACCAACCCGGUCAGCCUCCUCCCGGCCCCGGCCGGGGGGCGGGCGCCGGCGGCUUUGGUGACUCUAGAUAACCUCGGGCCGAUCGCACGCCCCCCGCGGCGGCGACGACCCAUUCGAACGUCUGCCCUAUCAACUUUCGAUGGUAGUCGCUGUGCCUACCAUGGUGACAACGGGUAACGGGGAAUGGGGCGGGGGCGGCGGGCCGGGCGCGGGGCGCGGCGGGCG
rnacentral:rRNA from 1 species